AAGUGAGGGCACUCUAGCUGUGACAUCUGUCACCCCAUUGAUCUGCAGGGUUUACUCAGCUGCCCUGGCUGGCUAGUGGCUAGCGCCUCCUUCCUCCUUUCCCACUGCAGGCUGUGUGCUCUGUGGAAGAGGGCAGCCUUUCCUGAGAGCUGAGACUGCUUCUCAGUCAGGGUAUACAAAGAGCUGCUGCCCUGCUAGAACCUCCGGAAACACUACAGGACUCUUCCUCCUCAGCACCUUCUCUCCCUCCAGCAUUUUCUCUCAUUAAAAAGAAAGAGUAAGGGAGAGAAAAUGAGACAGAGUAGGUCAACUGCGAAUAGAUUAUGUACUAUACAAUCAGU
ensembl:misc_RNA 7SK 7SK RNA